rnacentral:rRNA from 1 species
ACCGUGAGGGAAUGGUGAAAAGUACCCCGGGAGGGGAGUGAAAUAGUACCUGAAACCGUGUGCCUGUAAGCCGUCAGAGCCUUGUGGGGUGAUGGCGUGCCUUUUGAAGAAUGAGCCUGCGAGUUAGUGAUACGUGGCGUGCUUAACCCGUGUGGGGUAUGCGUAGCGAAAGCGAGUCUGAAAAAUUUGGCGUUUGUCGCGUGUUCUAGACCCGAAGCGGGGUGAUCUACCCAUGGUCAGGUUGAAGCAGAGGUAAGACUGUGUGGAGGACCGAACCCACCAGGGUUGAAAACCUGGGGGAUGAGCUGUGGGUAGGGGUGAAAGGCCAAUCAAACUCCGUGAUAGCUGGUUCUCCCCGAAAUGCAUUUAGGUGCAGCGUUGCGUGGUCCCUGGUGGAGGUAGAGCUACUGGAUGGCCGAUGGGCCCUGUGGGUUACUGACGUCAGCCAAACUCCGAAUGCCAUUAGGUGUAGCGUGGCAGUGAGACUGCGGGGGAUAAGCUUCGUAGUCGAGAGGGAAACAGCCCAGAUCAUCAGCUAAGGCCCCUAAGCGUACGCUAAGUGGGAAAGGAUGUGGAGUCGCGGUGACAACCAGGAGGUUGGCUUAGAAGCAGCCAUCCUUGAAAGAGUGCGUAAUAGCUCACUGGUCAAGUGGUUCUGCGCCGACAAUGUAGCGGGGCUCAAGCGUACCGCCGAAGCUGUGGCAACAACGCGUUUGUGCUGGCGCCAGGAACUGGAGUGCUGGUGUGUUGUUGGGUAGGGGAGCGUCCUGCACGAGGUGAAGCCUGGAGGUGACUUCUGGUGGAUUGUGUGGGAGUGAGAAUGCAGGCAUGAGUAACGAAUCUGCGGUGAGAAUCCGCAGCGCCGAUUGACUAAGGGUUCCAGGGCUAGGUUUAUCCGCCCUGGGUUAGUCGGGUCCUAAGGCGAGGCCGACAGGCGUAGUCGAUGGACAACCAGUUGAUAUUCUGGUACCGCGUUAUGACCGCCCAUGCUGAAGUCAUUGUGCUAACCAAUCUGCCCGUGCUCCCGCAUGGCUUUCGGGCCGCGCGGGUGUGUGUGGGUCUUGGGGUCCCGGUGAUGGUAGGCAAGCGUGUUAACAGGGGUGACGCAGACAGGUAGCUGCAGUGCGCCGAUGGUUGUGCGUAUUUAAGGUUGUGGCCCGUCCCUCAGGUAAAUCCGGGGGGCAUGAUGGGUGAGAACUUAUGAGGGUGACACGAUAGUGCCAUCUUGUGGUGAUCCUAUGCUGCCAAGAAAAGCCUCGACGUGAGGGCAUGACGCGCCCGUACCCUAAACCGACUCAGGUGGUCAGGUAGAGUAUACCGAGGCGUUCGAGUGAAUCAUGGUUAAGGAACUCGGCAAAAUUCCUCCGUAACUUCGGGAUAAGGAGGACCCCGUGACUUCCCAAUGCUUUGCGUGUUGGUGGGGUUGUGGGGUCGCAGAGAAUAGGGAGAAGCGACUGUUUAUCAAAAACACAGGUGCGUGCGAAGCCGUAAGGCGAUGUAUACGCACUGACGCCUGCCCGGUGCUGGAAGGUUAAGAGGAACCGUCAACAUCCCUUGCGGGUGUGAAGCGGUGAAUUUAAGCCCCAGUAAACGGCGGUGGUAACUAUAACCAUCCUAAGGUAGCGAAAUUCCUUGUCGGGUAAGUUCCGACCUGCACGAAUGGCGUAACGACUUCUCCGCUGUCUCAACCGUGAACUCGGUGAAAUUGCAGUACGAGUAAAGAUGCUCGUUUCGCGCAGAAGGACGGAAAGACCCCGGGACCUUUACUAUAGCUUGGUAUUGGUGUUCGCUUGGACUUGUGUAGGAUAGGUGGGAGACUGUGAAGCUGCCGCGCCAGCGGUGGUGGAGUCGUCGUUGAAAUACCAUUCUGGUUCAAGCGGUCACCUUAACCUUGGCCCGUGAUCCGGGUUGGGGACAGUGCCUGGUGGGUAGUUUAACUGGGGCGGUUGCCUCCUAAAAUGUAACGGAGGCGCUCAAAGGUUCCCUCAGCCUGGUUGGUAAUCAGGUGGCGAGUGCAAGUGUACAAGGGAGCUUGACUGUGAGACCGACGGGUCGAGCAGGUGCGAAAGCAGGAACUAGUGAUCCGGCCAUGGCACGUGGGUGCGUGGUCGCUCAACGGAUAAAAGGUACCCCGGGGAUAACAGGCUGAUCUUGCCCAAGAGUCCAUAUCGACGGCAUGGUUUGGCACCUCGAUGUCGGCUCGUCGCAUCCUGGGGCUGGAG